GCUACGGGGGGCUACAGUGAGGAAUAUUGGUCAAUGGACGAGAGUCUGAACCAGCCAAGUAGCGUGAAGGAUGACUGCCCUAUGGGUUGUAAACUUCUUUUAUAUGGGAAUAAAAUGUUCCACGUGUGGGAUUUUGUAUGUACCAUAUGAAUAAGGAUCGGCUAACUCCGUGCCAGCAGCCGCGGUAAUACGGAGGAUCCGAGCGUUAUCCGGAUUUAUUGGGUUUAAAGGGAGCGUAGGUGGAUUGUUAAGUGAGUUGGGAAAGUUCGCGGAGCAACCGUAAAAUUGCAGUUGAAACUGGCAGUCUUGAGUACAGUAGAGGUGGGCGGAAUUCGUGGUGUAGCGGUGAAAUGCUUAGAUAUCACGAAGAACUCCGAUUGCGAAGGCAGUUCACUGGACUGCAACUGACACUGAGGCUCGAAAGUGUGGGUAUCAAACAGGAUUAGAUACCCGAGUAGUC
rnacentral:rRNA from 1 species